rnacentral:rRNA from 1 species
CAGCAGAGCUCCGACCUUCGGGGACGAGCGCUUUUAUUAGACCAAAACCAAUCGGACCUCGUGUCCGUCCUUUGUGGUGACUCUGUAUAACUUUGGGCUGAUCGCACGGGCCUGUCCCGGCGACGUAUCUUUCAAGUGUCUGCCUUAUCAACUUUCGAUGGUAGGUUACGCGCCUACCAUGGUCGUAACGGGUAACGGGGAAUCAGGGUUCGAUUCCGGAGAGGGAGCCUGAGAAACGGCUACCACAUCCAAGGAAGGCAGCAGGCGCGCAAAUUACCCACUCCCAGAACGGGGAGGUAGUGACGAAAAAUAACAAUACGGGACUCUUUUGAGACCCCGUAAUUGGAAUGAGUACACUCUAAAUCCUUUAACGAGGAUCCAUUGGAGGGUAAGUCUGGUGCCAGCAGCCGCGGUAAUUCCAGCUCCAAUAGCGUAUAUUAAAGUUGUUGCGGUUAAAAAGCUCGUAGUUGGAUCUCAGUUCCAGACGGGUGGUCCGCCUACCGGUGGUUACUGCCUGUUCUGAACAGUCAGCCGGUUUCUCUUGAUGAUCUUCACCGGUUGUCUUGGGUGACCGGCAAGUUUACUUUGAAAAAAUUAGAGUGCUCAAAGCAGGCGUGACGCCUGAAUAAUGGUGCAUGGAAUAAUGGAAUAGGACCUCGGUUCUAUUUUGUUGGUUUUCGGAACACGAGGUAAUGAUUAAGAGGGACAGACGGGGGCAUUCGUAUUGCGACGCUAGAGGUGAAAUUCUUGGACCGUCGCAAGACGAACUACUGCGAAAGCAUUUGCCAAGAAUGUUUCCAUUAAUCAAGAACGAAAGUUAGAGGUUCGA